rnacentral:rRNA from 1 species
AUUGAACGCUGGCGGCAGGCCUAACACAUGCAAGUCGAGCGGAUGAAGGGAGCUUGCUCCUGGAUUCAGCGGCGGACGGGUGAGUAAUGCCUAGGAAUCUGCCUGGUAGUGGGGGAUAACGUCCGGAAACGGGCGCUAAUACCGCAUACGUCCUGAGGGAGAAAGUGGGGGAUCUUCGGACCUCACGCUAUCAGAUGAGCCUAGGUCGGAUUAGCUAGUUGGUGGGGUAAAGGCCUACCAAGGCGACGAUCCGUAACUGGUCUGAGAGGACGAUCAGUCACACUGGAACUGAGACACGGUCCAGACUCCUACGGGAGGCAGCAGUGGGGAAUAUUGGACAAUGGGCGAAAGCCUGAUCCAGCCAUGCCGCGUGUGUGAAGAGGGUCUUCGGAUUGUAAAGCACUUUAAGUUGGGAGGAAGGGCAGUAAGUUAAUACCUUGCUGUUUUGACGUUACCAACAGAAUAAGCACCGGCUAACUUCGUG